UCGAGCGGUAGCACAGAGAGCUUGCUCUCGGGUGACGAGCGGCGGACGGGUGAGUAAUGUCUGGGAAACUGCCUGAUGGAGGGGGAUAACUACUGGAAACGGUAGCUAAUACCGCAUAAUGUCGCAAGACCAAAGUGGGGGACCUUCGGGCCUCAUGCCAUCAGAUGUGCCCAGAUGGGAUUAGCUAGUAGGUGGGGUAACGGCUCACCUAGGCGACGAUCCCUAGCUGGUCUGAGAGGAUGACCAGCCACACUGGAACUGAGACACGGUCCAGACUCCUACGGGAGGCAGCAGUGGGGAAUAUUGCACAAUGGGCGCAAGCCUGAUGCAGCCAUGCCGCGUGUGUGAAGAAGGCCUUCGGGUUGUAAAGCACUUUCAGCGGGGAGGAAGGCGAUAAGGUUAAUAACCUUGUCGAUUGACGUUACCCGCAGAAGAAGCACCGGCUAACUCCGUGCCAGCAGCCGCGGUAAUACGGAGGGUGCAAGCGUUAAUCGGAAUUACUGGGCGUAAAGCGCACGCAGGCGGUCUGUCAAGUCGGAUGUGAAAUCCCCGGGCUCAACCUGGGAACUGCAUUCGAAACUGGCAGGCUAGAGUCUUGUAGAGGGGGGUAGAAUUCCAGGUGUAGCGGUGAAAUGCGUAGAGAUCUGGAGGAAUACCGGUGGCGAAGGCGGCCCCCUGGACAAAGACUGACGCUCAGGUGCGAAAGCGUGGGGAGCAAACAGGAUUAGAUACCCUGGUAGUCCACGCCGUAAACGAUGUCGAUUUGGAGGUUGUGCCCUUGAGGCGUGGCUUCCGGAGCUAACGCGUUAAAUCGACCGCCUGGGGAGUACGGCCGCAAGGUUAAAACUCAAAUGAAUUGACGGGGGCCCGCACAAGCGGUGGAGCAUGUGGUUUAAUUCGAUGCAACGCGAAGAACCUUACCUGGUCUUGACAUCCACAGAACUUAGCAGAGAUGGUUUGGUGCCUUCGGGAACUGUGAGACAGGUGCUGCAUGGCUGUCGUCAGCUCGUGUUGUGAAAUGUUGGGUUAAGUCCCGCAACGAGCGCAACCCUUAUCCUUUGUUGCCAGCGGUUAGGCCGGGAACUCAAAGGAGACUGCCAGUGAUAAACUGGAGGAAGGUGGGGAUGACGUCAAGUCAUCAUGGCCCUUACGACCAGGGCUACACACGUGCUACAAUGGCAUAUACAAAGAGAAGCGACCUCGCGAGAGCAAGCGGACCUCAUAAAGUAUGUCGUAGUCCGGAUUGGAGUCUGCAACUCGACUCCAUGAAGUCGGAAUCGCUAGUAAUCGUAGAUCAGAAUGCUACGGUGAAUACGUUCCCGGGCCUUGUACACACCGCCCGUCACACCAUGGGAGUGGGUUGCAAAAGAAGUAGGUAGCUUAACCUUCGGGAGGGCGCUACC
rnacentral:rRNA from 1 species